rnacentral:rRNA from 1 species
UACGGAGGAUGCAAGCGUUAUCCGGAAUGAUUGGGCGUAAAGCGUCCGCAGGUGGCAAUGUAAGUCUGCUGUCAAAGCGUCUGGCUCAACCAGAUAAAGGCAGUGGAAACUACAUAGCUAGAGUAAGGUAGGGGUAGAGGGAAUUCCUGGUGUAGCGGUGAAAUGCGUAGAGAUCAGGAAGAACACCGGUGGCGAAAGCGCUCUGCUGGACCUUAACUGACACUGAGGGACGGAAGCUAGGGGAGCGAAAGGG